GUGAGAGCAACAACACCUGCCUUCUCCUUCUUGUAGCCUUUCGUUCCAGCAGAGUACAAGCAAGGUGUUGCUUCGCUAAUGAGCCGGGCAUUAUGUACGGUGCCUUUAGUUACUUUGGGAGCGUGGCGGCCAGGGAGGCGGAGCAUGUACCUGAGACACCCUUGGUUUCGCGUUGCCCCUCCAAACCUACGGAGGAGUGGGAGCGCAUCACGAUCAUUGCACUGUGGAUUGAAGGAGAGUCGUCAUCCUCCAUCGCUCGCAGGAUUGGCGUCAGUCCCUCCACCGUCAACAGAUGGAUCAGGAGGUGGAAGCAGGAAGGCCACGUGUUCAGCCGAUGUUCAUGUCCCGCUCCCUUUAGAUUAUCCAUUCAUAAUCACAAGGGAAGCUAGAGUUAGGUCGGCCACCAAGUCCGGCUAAGUAUGCACAGUAUUUGCAUGCUGGUCAGUCAGUACCCAGCCUUGUAGCGAGCGGAUGUUUUGGCAACAAUGUGUGAAGAUGCUCUGUAUUUGGCGCAGAGUUCUGGCACGUGAUGCUAAAGGGUUGAAAGACCGAUGUGCAAAUAUUCAUAAUGUGCAGUGAUUUCUAUGACGUUUUCAUCCGUAAUAAACAUUGCUGCUAUUGAAA